AUCCCGCUGCUCAGGCAAGCAAGAGAGCAGCAGCGAUCGAGAAAAGUUUGGAACUUUCGGUCUGCAAGCUCUCAAAAUGAAGACUUGUAGAGCUGGGUCAUCUUGGGUAUGUCCUCGUCCUCGCUUGUCCCGGUGCUUUAGAUCGGACGCUGCUCUGGCGGCCAUCGCCAGAGCCCGCGACGAGCGUGUCCCCAACCUCGCCCUCUACAACUACCCAUCGUUCUCGGGUGCAUUCUCCGCCCUCUUCGCCCGCCUCUUCCACUCCCGCAUCCGCGUGCCUUGCCUCAUCUUGCCUUUCUCCUCUGUCGAACCCUUCAGAGAUGCGGAUUUGCAUAUCCCUGGACUGGAAAAAUGUUAUCUUCUUGACUUUCUUGGCCCAAAAGGAUUUGCAGCGAAGCUUGCACAGCAAUCUUUCUGCAAGAUAAUUGCAUUUGAGCACAGAAAGUCAGCUUUUUCACAUGCUUCUGCCAAAGAGGAUUGCCCUGAGAACCUUGUCAUCCAUUCCAAUACUGAGAAGAGCAGCGUAACUGCUGUCUAUGAAUACUUUUCUGCUCAACUUGCAGAAAACAGAUCUACUAAUGAGGGGCCAGGUCUUUUAGACCCCCAGGAUCAAGAGCGCAUGGAGAUGGUACUUAAGUACAUUGAAGAUGGAGAUCUUCGCCGUUGGACCUUACCAGACAUCAAGGCUUUUAAUAUUGGAUUGAGCGAGAGGCGUUCAAAGUUAAAUUGCAUCACUAAUCCAUUCAUGUAUGAACAGUUAUUGGAUAUAAGUGCCGUGGAUUUGAUUGCUAAAGGAAAUGCUUACACCACUGCUAGACAGAACUCUGCAUCUAAAUUUUUGGAGAAAGUUUUUAAAGUUCGAUUAGGCAGGGGGCUUUAUGGGGAAUGUCUGGGAAUUAGGGCUGAUGGGAUUUCUGAUUCAAGUGAUGAAAUUGGGAAGCAAUUAAGUGUAAAAAGUGCGGCAUUGGGCUUGAGGCCAAUUGGAGCAGUGGUGUACAUGCAGCGGAAUAACCUGAAGAUAAGUUUGAGAAGCACUGAUGAUGCAACUGAUACUUCAGAAGUUGCAAAGGCAUAUGGCGGAGGCGGUACCCCUGCUUCUAGUUCCUUUAUCAUAAGGAUGGAUGAGUAUAAUCACUGGCUUUCAGUAAAUUCACCCUGAGUACAUAUUGAUCUUCACUCAAGAUUGUCUUCCUGGAACAGUAAAAAGAGUUGUCCCGAAGUGAUGAUACUAAUGGGAAGGGUGAAUACAAAUGCAAGGGCGCUACCAAAGAGAAUCCCCCACCAUGGCAUUUGGACCUGAUCAUUCAGGAAGAUGCAUAGAGCAAGAGACACCACCAGACUUACAAUGAGCAACAAGUGAAACCACCAUGAGGGUAUGUCUUUGUAUCGCCUCAUCAAUUUUGUAUGGAUAUCUGCCUUCCCUUUGUGAGAAUCACGAUAGCGCUCAUAGAUCUCUCUGUUGAAUGUAAUUGUACAUCACUGUCUACAUGUCUGAUGAAUUCAAGAAAAUCAAAUACUUUACAGGGAAAAAAAAAAACACCGUUCUGAUUCUUGAGAGUUUUUUCAUUAUCUUAGUCAUUACAUUUCUGUGUUAUAACUAUAAGGAUCACCUUAGUUUGCAGAAAAGUUAUUUGAAACUGUAAAUUCAGUUUCUUUCAA